rnacentral:rRNA from 1 species
CCUACGGGAGGCAGCAGUAGGGAAUAUUGCUCAAUGGGGGAAACCCUGAAGCAGCACCGCCGCGGGGAGGAUGAAGGUUUUAGGAUUGUACACUCCUUUUGUGAGAGAAGAUCAUGACGGUAUCUCACGAAUAAGCACCGGCACACUCCGUGCCAGCAGCCGCGGUAAUACGGCGGGUGCAAGCGUUACUCGGAAUCACUUGGCGGAAAGGGUGCGCAGGCGGGCGUGUAAGUCAGAUGGGAAAUCCUGUAGCAUAACUACAGAACUGCAUUUGAAACUAUGAGUCUAGAGUGUGGGAGAGGUAGGUGGAAUGCUUGGUGUAGGGGUAAAAUCCGUAGAUAUCAAGAGGAAUACUCAUUGCGAAGGCGACCUACUGGAACAUUACUGACGCUCAUGCACGAAAGCGUGGGGAGCAAACAGGAUUAGAUACCCCUGUAGUC